GACGAACGCUGGCGGCGUGCCUAAUACAUGCAAGUCGAGCGAGCUUGCCUAGAUGAUUUUAGUGCUUGCACUAAAUGAAACUAGAUACAAGCGAGCGGCGGACGGGUGAGUAACACGUGGGUAACCUGCCCAAGAGACUGGGAUAACACCUGGAAACAGAUGCUAAUACCGCAUAACAUACGGAUGUCGCAUGGCAACCGUAUCAAAGAUUAUAUCGCUUGAAGAUGGACUCGCGUCCGAUUAGCCAGUUGGCGGGGUAACGGCCACCAAAGCGACGAUCGGUAGCCGGACUGAGAGGUUGAACGGCCACAUUGGGACUGAGACACGGCCCAG
rnacentral:rRNA from 1 species